rnacentral:rRNA from 1 species
UGUUAUGUUCAAGCUCCGAUUUGUGAGGGCGAAACCGCGAAUGGCUCAUUAAACCAGUCAUAAUCUACUUGAUUGUUUCAAGGUUAUAUGGAUAACUGUGGUAAUUCUAGAGCUAAUACAUGCACAAAAGGGGCGACUGCAAAGAAGCCUCGCGUUUAUUAGACUAAGACUUUCUUUAAAAUUAAGGUGACUCUGAGUAAAUAACGGGUGAAAGCCCGUGCUGCCGACCUGGCACACCAAAGAGCGCAAGCUCGCCAGGCGAAUCAAUCGAGUGUCUGCUCUAUCAACUGUGGAUGGUAGGGUAAUUGCCUACCAUGGUGGUGACGGGUAACGGGGAGUUAGGGCUCGACUCCGGAGAACAAGCCUGAGAAACGGCUAGUAGGACUAAGGUCUGCAGCAGGCGCGAAACUUACACAAUGCUUGUAAUAUUGAAGCGAUGUAGUGAAGAAAAAUAACGAUGUACUUCCAUUUAAACAUGGUAGUACAAUUGGAAUGAGACGACUCUAAACCAGUUAGUCGAGUAACAAAUGGAGGGCAAGUCUGGUGCCAGCAGCCGCGGUAAUUCCAGCUCCAUUAGCAUACAUUAAAGUUGUUGCGGUUAAAAAGCUCGUAGUUGAAUGUUGCGUGGCUUGCUUCGGCUUGCGGCCGUUAAGGGCGUUCACGAGCUCACGCUCGAGUCCGCCUGGUCGUCGAGUUCCGUACGCAAGCCACUGUUUCGUCACUUAAUCGAGUGCGAAGCGUGCGGGGAUGACCGUCAGAGUUCGCUCUGGCACAUGCCCGCGAGUUUACCUUGAGAAAAUUAGAGUGCUCACAGCAGGCAGUUGGGGUGUCAAAACCUCUUUAUGCUUGAAUAAUGUUGCAUGGAAUAAUAGAAUACGGCCUCGGUUCUAUUCUGUUGGUCUUAUAGAACAACAAAUAAGUUGGUUAAAGCGACCAAAAGUUUGCUCGCGCGUGUGACCCGCGCCUGUCCUGUGUUGCCUGGGGCCUUAAAAUCUCAGCGCCGCGGACAGCCGAGUCGCGAAGCACCGCGAACCCAAACUAGCUUCUCAACCAACUGAGGCAAUGGUUAAAAGAAAUAGUCGCGGCGGCAUCAGUACUGCAUCGUGAGAGGUGAAAUUCUUAGACCGAUGCAAGACUAACUGAAGCGAAAGCGUUUGCCGAGGAUAUUUUCAUUAAUCAAGAACGAAAGUUAGAGGUUCGAAGGCGAUCAGAUACCGCCCUAGUUCUAACCAUAAACGUUGCCAACUAGCAAUUGGGUUCCGAUUCCUUUAAUCAACGUGCUCUAAACAAGCCGUUGAUCAUUAUGAUCCACCCAGCGGCUCUCGUAGGGAAACCAAAGUGUUUGGGUUCCGGGGGAAGUAUGAUUGCAAAGUUGAAACUUAAAGGAAUUGACGGAAGGGCACCACCAGGAGUGGAGCCUGCGGCUUAAUUUGACUCAACACGGGGAAACUUACUAGAUUAAAACUCUGGAAUGAUUGACAGAUUGAUAGCUCUUUCUUGAUUCAGAGGAUGGUGGUGCAUGGCCGUUCUUGAUUCGUAUUCCGAAACGUCUGCUUAAUUGCGAUAACGAGUGAGACCUCACCCAACUAACUAGUCGCCUGGUGCGCCGUGGGACGCCAAAGUUUGCCGUCGUUGCGCGUAGGCUUCGGCUUGCGCGCGCGGCCCAGCAAAUGUCCUCUGCUCGCCGGCGGACUUCUUAGAGGGAUAAACGGUGUUUUAGCCGUAAGAAACGAGGCAAUAACAGGUCUGUGAUGCCCUUAGAUAUUUUAGGCCGCACGCGUGCUACAAUGGCGUGUGCAGAAAGCUUGUUCGAGGUUCGUCCAGAGAGCAACUACUCGUUUGGUUGGCAACAAUCGGCGAGCAAGUGACUUUGGUCCACGGGCCGAGAGAAACCGUGCCUGAAAAGGUACGGCAAUCAUCAAUACACGCCGUGAUUUGGGAUUGGGGAUUGCAAUUGUUGCCCAUGAACGAGGAAUUCCCAGUAAGCGCAAUUCAUCAUAUUGCGUUGAUUACGUCCCUGCCCUUUGUACACACCGCCCGUCGCUACUACCGAUUGGAAGUUUUAGUGAGGCAUUUGGACCUGUAGGCCAUCGUGGCGGGCAACCGUUACGGGCACGCGGGGAAGUCUGUCGAACUCAAAUUUCUAGAGGAAGUAAAAGUCGUAACAAGGUUUCCGU